AUUGAACGCUGGCGGCAUGCCUUACACAUGCAAGUCGAACGGCAGCGGACCUUCGGUGCCGGCGAGUGGCGAACGGGUGAGUAAUAUAUCGGAACGUACCUUUCAGUGGGGAGUAACGUAGCGAAAGUUAACGCUAAUACCGCAUAUUCUGUGAGCAGGAAAGACAGGGGAGUCGCAAGACCUUGCGCUGAUUGAGCGGCCGAUAUCAGAUUAGCUAGUUGGUGAGGUAAAGGCUCACCAAGGCGACGAUCUGUAGCGGGUCUGAGAGGAUGAUCCGCCACACUGGAACUGAGACACGGUCCAGACUCCUACGGGAGGCAGCAGU
rnacentral:rRNA from 1 species